rnacentral:hammerhead_ribozyme from 1 species
GCACUGCUGACGAGUCCCAGACAAAACGAAACAGCUGUCCAGCGC